GGUGGAUUAGUGGCGAACGGGUGAGUAACACGUGAGCAACCUGCCCCUGACUCUGGGAUAACAGCCGGAAACGGCUGCUAAUACCGGAUAUGCACCAUGAACGCAUGUUCUGUGGUGGGAAAGAUUUUCGGUUGGGGAUGGGCUCGCGGCCUAUCAGCUUGUUGGUGAGGUAAUGGCUCACCAAGGCGUCGACGGGUAGCCGGCCUGAGAGGGUGACCGGCCACACUGGGACUGAGACACGGCCCAG
rnacentral:rRNA from 1 species